CCAGCAAAUCAUGGACCAAAAUCUCCAAACCCGCGAGUCAUAAUGCACCCUUGUCCUCUAUAGCUUGUCCACUCAGGUGUCACAGCCAUGAAAAGAGGGCAGCACAGACAUGAAGCACCGUCCCGGAUGUGGCGAAGAGUGAGGAGCCUUAUCUCUGCUGCUGACCUCUGUGUGACCAGGGCCUUUGGGAGAACGAGUGUGAGGACCCUGGAAGGCGCUUUGCCAGGCCGAUCCGGCUGUCCUGCGGUGGGGACACCCACUGGGUUCUACGAGGCGACUUGCACCAAGUCCAAGACCUGAGUGCUGAUGCCACCCGAGUCAAAGGGACCUCAGGCGCCAGACAAACCCUGACAGCCUAAGAAGGCGUUAGUAAGCAGAACGCGUGUGGAGAGUGAAGGAUCAUGGGAAAACCAUGCAACAUAAGGUCUGUUCUGUUCUUUUAAAAAAAUUAGCCAACUGUGUCUACUCCUCCUGUCCCCUGUCAAGGGUACCCUCUUCCUUCCUUCCUUCCUUCCUUCUUUCCUUCCUUCCUUCUUCCUUUCUUUCUCUUUUUUUUCUCUCGCUCUUUCUUUUGCCUUUUUGAGACAGGGUCUCACUAUGUAGCUCAGGCUGGCCUUGGCCUCAUGUGUAGUUCAAGCUGGCCUUGAACUCACAGUGAUUCCCUGCCUCGGCCUCCCAAGUGCUGGGAUUACAGAUGUGUACCACGAUGCCCAUGAGGUAUCCUUUCCUGUAGCAUCAAGCAUUGUGACACCAGAGGUCAGGGUCGGGUCUCCUAGGUUACAGAGACUGUGGACCAUCCCAGCGCAUAGCUGACAACAAUCCACUCACACCUGGCAGGAGGACAAAGGUGACUGUUGAGAGUCUGGCUAAGCCAGGAACUAGGAUGCACCCAUGCUGCAAAAGGCAGGGCUUCGGAGGGCAGCUCUGGGGCAGAGGUGGCAGCCCUGAACCUUUGGAACUGAGCUGCAAGCCAGAAGGACAAGUGACAGCCGUAGAGGGGCUGAGGAGCCAGCAGAAGCCCCUGUGAGCCCCGGCCUCGCACACAGGUCCUGCCAUGGCUGUGAUGACUCAGGAGCUCCCACACUUCACACUGCCCAGGGCUGGGCGGGGGCGAGCCACUCUAGCUGUGGGUGCUAAUGUGGGUGCCAGGUGGGGUGUGACAAGGGAUGUCAUGUGUCAGCUUAUUUAUAGAGGACUAAAAAUGACAGUGCCUCCCAGAUGCAAUGACUGCACAAAGCCCCACAGUGGCCCAGCGUACCCAAGAGGUGCUUCCCGAAGGUCCUAAAACUUGUAUGGCCUCAUUAGUGAGAGGCACAAGGGACAUCUGUUCUAUUUCUGGACCUUUCUGGUUCCUGCAGAGUAGACCAGGCACCUGGGAGGGACCUGGACUUAGAAGGAAGAAUGGGUGGGGGGAGGGAGAUGGUCAGCUGCCAGGGCAACAGGUGACACAGUGGACUUGUCGCCUGUGGUGGGUGCACCGGGGCUCUUGUUAGAAAGUAGAUUCAGACCCCCAGGCUGUGGGUAAGGCUGAGCACGCACAGUUCUCACAGCUCCCUGGGGCUCUGCUGCUCCUGUUGGGACCGUAUCUGAAGGGGUGUGGAUGGGUGAGGACCGUAGUGUCCCAUGGGCUGGUCAGAGAGAACAGGUGUGGGGGUUUGCAAGGGAGGCAGGCAGGGCCAGUGGGAGGAGCAGCAGGUGAUGCCAGGUGGAGGCCCUGGUGGCCUGGGGGAGGGCCGUGGGCCGGGCUUGGUGUCUGGGUUGGCCUCUGCCUCGAUCUGUCACUUAGUUAGUCUCUCCAGGCGGAGUCUCCCCGCUGGCUGCCUGUGCCAAGGGUCUGAGGGGCGUCUGUCUGUGGCUGCCGUUCCUGUGGAAAGGAGCAGAGGAAGCAGAGAGACCACAGAGACAGGCGAGAGAUGUGUGCUGUGACCACGGGACCAAGGCCAAGCUGCCAGGGCGGCAGCUGGAGAGGCCCUGGGGGAAGAGCUGUUUCUGCAGCGGAGAGAGCCAGAGGGGCCAGCCUGGGGCCUGCACUGUGGAGGAAGGUGACCCUGCCCUGUGGAGGGGGGUCCUCGGGCCCCGCUGAGGAGGGAGGAGACCAAGGCAGGGGCUACCGGCUAGUUCCAGAGUAGAUGCUGGGCAGCGAGGCCGGCCACCAGUGCCUCCUCCCACUAACGUGGCUGCAGGAGCUGCUUUGUGAGCAAGGCCACCCUAAUUGCUCUCGGAGGACCCUUGGCAUCGAGGCUGCGCUGCUCUCCCAAGGCCCUAAAAAGCCUCUCUGCUUUCGGUCUCUUUUCUGUGUCUCCCACCCACUCUUUAACCUGCUGGGAUCGAAGUCCUGUCUUGGAUCUGGGGUCCUGUCUUGAAUCGGGGCUGGCUAAUCAAUGGACGCCUUUCUGGAUUUAGAGUGUUUGGCUCCUGACGUGUACUUGUCAGUUGGCUGUGGACCACUUUCCAGAACAACACUGAAUAAAAGCGACCCACCUGGUGGACUGGCAGGCUGGGUCUGCAUUCUGGCCACAUCACUGCUCCAGGCCUCAGUUUCCACAUUGGCUAGGGGAGGAGGACAGCAUCAGCAUGGCAGGGUUUGCAAGCAAUGGAAUGAGUAACUCAGGGUGCUUGGUGGGGAGCGAUCUGUCCUGAGUACACCACGACUGAUGGCGAUGGUCACAGUGGACAAGUGUAGGGAGUCGGGAGGAAGGUGACAGCCACGGAGAUGCCUUUAAAGGCCAUGAGGAGCACUGUCCUGACGUCUGUAUGACCCACUGCACACACAUUGCCAACAGCACCGCGGCCCUGGGGACAGUCCUUCUCGGCUUCACAGACGAGCCACACGAUCCUGACGAUGAAGAGUGGAACCAGACCAGGACGCAGCUGGGAGCUGUGGAGCAUCAGCGAGAUCCUUAAUUCUGCAGCUCUUCAGCUUCUCAUUUAUAAAGGAAGGACAGGUGGCUUCGUGUUGCAGGAAUCACACACGCUGGCGAUUUAGGGAGGAGAGCUCCCCGCUGCUGUCAUCUACUGCAGCCUCGAUGCUCAGGUUUCUGUGGCUGGUGGUCUGCUCAGUUCUGUACCUGAGAGCCCUCAGGUCACAGCGCUGUCCACGGCUCAGCUGAGGCUGCAGAGCCCUGCGUGGCCUGCUGGUCACCACGGCAGAGUGCAUGGGAUGCCCCUGCCCUUGCUGUGGGCUCUCGUCCUCCAGGCAGCAGGCCAGAUGGGGUUUCCUCAUCACAUCCAUCUCAGGACCCAGCAGCACAGUCAGAUGCUGCGAAUUCUCCGGAGCAGGGGUCUGGGACAGCGUGCACAUGGCCCCUCUGCCACAGUCUUCAAUCCAACAGCCACAGGGCCAGCCCAGCUGGGUGCAGGGACAGGCAUGCCCCACUGCAGAGGGCUGGAGGUGGGGAGGGGUGUUUGUGAGCCACAUGCGGGUGCCCCUGGCUUCCCCCUUCCCACCACCUCCUCUGGCCUCAUCCCAGGGAAGACAACGUUGUCUUUGUGACUCCAGGAUUAUCUGUGCUCCAUCCGAUGGGUGACUGCCGUUUGCUUGUCUGAGUUCCUGCUGUUUAGAGUUAAAAGAAUGGAGAGAGAGAGAGAGAGAGACAGAGACAGUGAGAGACAGUGAGAGACAGAGAGACAGAAAGACAUAUACACAGAAGAGGCAGGGUGUUUUGCGGUGAUGGUGAUGGGUUUCACUAAAGAGUCCUAGAACUGUGGAAGCUAUAUGAGGACGGAAAGAAGAAAGGGGCUGUAAGGCGUAUUUAUUUAUCUUUCUGAGGCAGAAUUUCACUGUGUAGUUCAGGGUGGCCUCAGGCUCAGGGUGAUCCUCCUGCCUCAGCCUGCCAUGCCGAGUGCUGGGAUGACAGGCAUGCACCACCACAAGGAGUUUGCUUUUAAAAUUAAAAAUUAUUUUAAAAUUUCUUGUGACUGCUGGAUCCUAUUUUUGAACCCGACUUUGACUGCAGGUCAGGUCACACUGGGUCUUGGAAUUUGUUUGCGUAGUGCAUGUGUCCUGGGUACACCGGCACGGGCACUGGGUAAGUGAGGUGUGCUCCCAGGGUCUGUCUUACACCCGGCUGCGGCCCCUGCUCCCAGGGUCACCCCACGGGUCCCUCCUGGGGGUCUGUGCGGGGGUCCCCCAUGGUGCAGAGCCCUUUGCACAGUCAAAGUGUGAUUCUGGGCAUCACUGACCUCAAAUUCAAACGUGGCCCAGAAGGUGAUUCCGUUUUGCUCCUUCUCCAAGCCUCCCUGAAGACCACGGAUCCCGAGAAAACUCAGAAACACCAGCAGCGCAGGCAGGGCGCAGCAGCAUUGGCGCAGGAGGGGGUUUUGUGUUUCUUCCACCCUUUCAUUUUUCUACUUGGACAGUGUCGUUUCUUGUCACCGGAGACAAAAAAAUACACUUUAAAACCACCCCGGGGCGUUCACUUCCAAGUGAACAUUUUAAUAAGCAUUUCUAAUGGUACCUGCACUUUUUUCCCUUUGUCCAGUACUGGCCGCGGCUCUUUGCUCCCUCGUGCAAUUUCUCAUGUAAUUUCUGCCUUUCUGCAGGAAUGUAAACCCACGCCGUUGGGGGCAUGGGCUGUUUUCUUUACCACUGAGAAAGUACCUGGCACAAUCAGGGUUUGUUGAAUGAAUGUCAGUAUAUAAGUGAAUUUUUCUUCUGAUUUUUUGUAACAUGGGGACUGUUGCUACCAUAAAAUAUCAAAACGUCAUUGCUUGCCUAGGUUCAUCUCAAGACUUACAAAAACUUAGAAAACAGAAAUAAGAGUUGAAUGUGAGUGUUCUUAAUGAAGCACAGUAAAAAGUACAAAGCUACCUUUAAGGCUAAUUUAGAGCUUUGAAAGACUGCAUAUGACAUGAUUGUGUUGACAGAGAUUGAGAAAAGGGGUCAGAGCACAGAGAGAUAACUGAAGGUGGCAUGCAGGGGUCCCUGAGGCGGAGGGAGGGAGUUCUGGCCACUGGCCCCCAUAGGGAGUGCAGCCUCACCCCAGCUGCGGUCACAGCUCCCAGGCACCUCCUAGCUUGUGUGCUGGGUGCUGCGAGCCCGGGCCUCUUGGGGAGGAGGUCGCCGAGCCUGGCAAGUUCCGAGGCUGGACUUCACUGGCCGGCCUGCGGCCCAUUCAUUGUCUCCACGUGCUGAAACUUAACCAAAGACCAGCAUUUGCCACCCUUCAAGACAUCUUAAUGCACCUCCUGCAGUCUUAAAAGGCCAUUUCUUUCUAAUAAAUUUGUUUUUCCACUGUGGCAGUGUCAUUAAAAUAGGUUUAUAGCUUCUCUUAUAUAGUAAGAAAUUUUAAGGGACAUAGUAAUUCAGACACAUAACUCUAGGAUCUCUGCUGAAGACGAGGUUUUCCUCAAAAAUCCUUUUUUGUAUAUUCAUUCUUAAUGCAAUUGUAAGACUGUUUUACGAUGAAGGCCGGCAUUUUCCAUUCCUAACCAUAGUCUUGUUUUGCUUACACGUGUGAAAAGAGCUUGUUUUAUAUUGUUAAAUUCCCUUUAAUAUUCAAAAACCAUCUUAAGGUUCCUGAAAGGUGAACACAGAGACCAUACUUUUAAGAUGAACUUAUUCGUGGUUCUCAACCCUGGCUGUGCAUUAAAAUCACCUAGAGACGCUUUAGGCGAUACCUACCUACUCCAGCCCGGGAACAGUAAAUCGAGAUCUUUGGGGAAGGUUUCCAUCUCACGCCAAGGAUGCGCACCGCUGAAUUACGGGACCUUCAUAAGAACUUUCAUUGUCUCUUCUCAGCACUGAAGGGAUAGUCAAAGCUCUAAAAACUCAGUUGAAACUUUCUCUUUGAUGGAUUUUAAUUAUUUAAUUUUCUAAAACAUAACUCAAAGUCAUAUAUAUACGUAUACACAUGUAUAUAUAUAUACAUGUAUAUAUAUGUAUCCAUGUAUGUAUAUAUAUAUAUGUACGUAUUUGUGUGAAUAAUGAUUUUUAUUGUUUUUGGAGCUGGGGGUUGCACCUAGGGCUUGUGCGUGUUAAGCAGGCGCUGUACCACUGAAGUACCCCCCAGGCCAUCCCAUGAUUUUGAUGUUAUGUAUAAGUUAUGGAUCGCCUAAAUCAAGCUGAUUAUUAUAUGCAUAACAUCACAUAUUUAGCAUUUACUUUCAGUGAGUACAUUUGAAUUUACUCUUUGGUUCUUUUCAUUUAAAAUAAAUAAUGAUAUAAACGUGGGAAAUAAAAGUAGCAGUACAUACCGAAGUCACUGCAGUACUAAGGGGGGCCCGGGGGGCCAGGCAGGAGCUGGCCUGGGUGGAGGUCAGGAGGCCGUGUGGUCCAUGGAGCCCUCAGCAUCUGAGCUCUGGAGCUGGUGGACAAGGAUUCUCAUCUCCGGGUCUUUCUGAGCUGGCACAACCUCUGCCCGAGAGCUGCUGCUGGCCCUGCAGCCUUUCUCUCUGCCUCAGUGGGCUUGGGAUGCCACGGACGUCAGAGGACGGCAGGCUUGGGGAUCAGCCUCGGUGUGCGUCCGGCCAGGAGCUGAGGAAGAGGUGAAGCAGAGCGGGGGAGGCACUUGACCUCUUCUCCCAGCUCGGGGAGCAGCUCCUCAGCCGCCCCUCCCUCAGGACGCAGACCGGCUUUCUCACCCCAGGCCUGUGCUUUUCUCCCUGGUAAGGAGGACACUUCAGGAGUUCUCCCAUGGGAAUCUCCUCCCUUAGAGGGGCAACACUGGGUCCUGACACCGAGGAGACUCACACAUGGCGUUAUAGACGACAGGAUGGGUUCUGUCGAGGCUAAGAGGGUUGUCCUAGGGUGACUGACUGCCUUUGUUUUGCUUCUGGUCUCUACUUUCUUGAGUCACAAAGUGCAUGAAAGGGGACCUUGCCUGGCCAGGAAUCAGCCUGGUUUUGGGCAUUUCUAGUGGCUGGGAAGGUGCAGCACUGAAGUCCUCCUGAAAGUCCCUCUUCAUCUCUCUAGUUUCUUGGAGAUUCCACAAUAGAGGGGGGUGACCCUGCCUACCCCGUUGGGUGGAGGUGUAUGCCACACAGGAGCUCGGGUCUAGGAGCCGACUGUCUGGAAAAGCUGGCACUGGGGGCUUCCUCAGGAAGGGCAGCCUCGAUGCCUGCCCUGAACACCCUGGCUGGACUUCUGCAAGGCUCCCAGCUGAGUGGUUUUCAGUAGUGGCCAGGCUAGGGCCUUCGUGUGCUGAGCUUCCUGGUGUCUCCAGGUGCCUGGGGGGUGGACCGGGGAAGACUUCCUCUGGGCUCCUUGGUGUCAUGUCUCCCUUGGAGGCUUGGCCGUGGGUGACCUCUGCUGGGGCCUGGGGUAUGACUGGGUGCCUCACUGCCAGCCCUGGGAAGACCUCCACUGGGCUUCUUACUGGCCCCAGAUGCCUUGUGGCCAGUCGUGAGGCGUGCUGUCCUGGGUCCUUGGCGUGGCUGGGCUCCUGGUGGCCAUGUCUGGGGAAACCUGCUCAGGGCUGCCCUGGACAGUCGGGUGGUAUCUGGAUGGAGUCAGUCAUCUUCCCAGUGGUUCAUAGAUGCCUUCCCCACCUGAGGUCCUGAGGCUGCAGCUUCGGGAAGGGCAGAAGCAGCUGCUGACCUUCUCUGGCCAAGUGAGCUCAGGAGGGAGUAGCUGUCACUAGAUUGUCAUACCUGUUAACGAGAGUUCCAAGUUCUUUUUGGACCGGUUGCCCAAGAAAUGAGGUCAUGUCUUGAAGUCCACAAUCUGAACGAUUACCUCUGAUAUGAAGACCCGAUGGCCCAUCUUUGUCUUUAUAGCAAAAUAAAUCUGUGACUAUUUAUUGUAUUAUUUUUAUUCAUCUGUCCUCUCCAUCCACCUGCCUAUCUGUCUGUCUGUCUAUCUAUCUAUCUAUCUAUCUAUCUAUCUAUCUAUCUAUCUAUCAUGAAUAUAACCGGGCAUCCGUGUGUCUAGCUAGCUCGUUAGCGAUCCUCUGUUAUUUACUUUUACAGUUACUGAGUCUUGAGCCCAGCAUCCUCAGACUUUUUCUUUCUGAAAGAUUUUCAAGAAUAAAGUACCUUGUUCUUAAUUAUCAUCACCAUGUUGUAAGAUGGUGGUCUUAAAUUUUUCCUUCUCUCCAAGCAACAUGCUAUGUCCUUCGAUCAAUUUCUUCUUACCCUGCCAUGCUAGCCCUGGUAAGUACCUUCUGCUGCCUAGUUCUGAACCCAAGUGUGUUAGAGUGCACAUGUCAAUGUGAACACGUGGUGCUUAUCUUUUGUGACUGGCUUAUUUUACUUUAUUAGUUAGGUUCAUCUAUACUGAGGACUCCCCUCUUCUGCUCCCCCUUCAUCUCUUGUGGGACUGCAUCCUCAGCCCUUUUAUUUCUUCUAUUUUGAGACAGUGUCCUGCUAAGGCACUUGUCUUGCUAACUGCCCAGGCUGGCUUACGCUUAGAAUCUUCCUCUCUCAAUCUCCUGGAAUGCAAGGAUUACAGGCAAGCGCCGCCAUGCCCAGCUUCUAUUGAUGGACACUAGUUCGAUUUUGAUUUUACGUUUUGCUUAUUAUGACUUGUGCUGAAUUGAACAUGGGAGUGAAAAUAUUUUUCAACAUACAGAUUUCAUAUCCUUGGGAUAAAUACCCAGAAGUGGGACUGCUGCUGGCUUAUGCUAUAGUUCUGUUUUUGGUUUUUUAAGGCCUCGAACUGUCCACCAUGGUGGCUGCACUGAUUUGCAUUCCCACCCAGGGCACCAGGGCCCUCUUUCACAGCCUCACCCUUGCUUCUCUAGGUGGAGGUCGCCCUGGACAUUCACCGACAGGUGUGCAGCUGUCUUCUACAGGGUGAAAACCAUCCACCAGCAGAGUCCCAGGGAGCCCAAAGCUGCUGACCCUGAAUGUAGGUCAUCCUCAGCUGCUCUGGAUCCUCUAGAAAGGAGCAUUGAUCCUGGCUUCUGGUGUUAGCCUUUGGCUGAUGCUUGCCUGGAUUCUGCUCAUUUGAGGCCUCUUCCUUUGGACACUCAGGUCCUUGGCCCACUCUGCUUUCUUUGCACUACUACACGAUUGACAUAAAAAGGAACUUUCUCAUGGUUGUUAUAAAGGCCUUGAGCCUGUAUGAUCAGGGGCAACCCCUGUCCAUCUGCACCUGUGUUGAACACCCCUCUGGGUGCCUGACCUUGCUGAAUUUUGAUGGUAUGAGGGAAGAAUGGUAUCAACAUUUAUUGAGUGCUAUGUACUUGCAUUUGUGAUCUUAUUUAAUCCUCAUGUCAGCCUAAUGAAGUUUAUAUCUUGGUCCUAUUUGUUUGGGAAAGAAACUGAAUCUCAGAAAAGUUAAGUAAAUUGUAUAGCCAACCUCAGAAUUCUACCAUUGCAACUCAAUGUUUUCUGCACAUUAUUGCAUCUUUCAAUGUUUAAAAUAGACAAGGUAGACAAGAACAUUGUGAAUUUCCAGUGGUUUUGAGGGACACUGGGAGAAUGAAUUACUAAUCAGCCCACAAUUUGUAGGUAACUCCCAGCUGGGAGGAAGUUACUGUGGUGACUGGUGGAUAACAUUUAGGGCAGUAGUAGAGAUGCUGGGGAGUUAGAACUGAUAAAGAGUGCUCUAGUUUCCUGUGGGACCCAAAAUAGAGAAUUCAGUGUGGUUUCCUGGGGGGAAGUGAGUUGUAUUUUGAGAUCUGUAAUAAGAGUUGAUUGCAAAGUGGCUGGGUUCAUGGUGGACCUGAAUAUAGAAUCUUUCAGAAUGUGUUCAUGUCAAAAAAGGGUAUUCAGGAGUCAAUAAAAUACAUUCCAUAGAGCAAGAUAGCAGAUAGAUAAGUAGCAAGUACCCUGAGGUAUGAGCAGGGACAGUGCAGGCUCUGGGGGUCUUCACCAUGUUAGUGUGUGCUGCAUGGUCAGAACCAGUUCAGGACAACUUCAGGGGUUUCUCUGAGAGAAACAGCUCAGAUGAUAGAAUUUAACAGCAUGGAGAAGACCAGACAAAAGGGGAGGGAUUCUCAUGACCCAGGAAGAAACUAAGGAAAAAGAAAAAAGAAAAACAUGGUAGAAGGCUGGAGCUCUCACCAGAUGUGCUCUCACCAGAGCCGGUCCAACUUGUAGUUGUGUGGAAGUCAGGGAUUGGUGAGCCCGAGGACUUCAGUGGGAGGAUGCAUCACAACGGAGAAUUGAGCUGGCAUGGAGAUCUGCACUGGCCCACAGUGAGUGCUUGGAAUUGGUGCUCCAGCAGAAAGAGGAGACCAGCUGGGCAACUUCUUGGAAUUGGGCAGGACGGGCCUGAACUCGGAACUGUAGUGGCUUCAGUUGGUUGCUCGUGGUGAGGAGCAUAUUGUUGGAAAUGGCUUGGACUGGGUCCUGCCCCUGAGUGGGACCCAGAAGCCAGGGACAAACUUACCCCUGAAGUUGUCCUGAACUGGUUCUGACCAUGCAGCACACACGGUGAACAUGGUGAAGACCCCCAGAGCCUGCACUGUCCCUGCUCAUACCUCAGUGAUUAACAGCAAACUGGAGAGGGCAGAAAUCCCUAGCCAGCACACUUCAGAAAAACCAUAACCAACAAGGAAAGGGGCUGGGACCUCCACCAUACACCUGUAUGAAAGAAACCAGAAACAUGACAAGAGGAAGAAAGAAGAAAAAGCCUCUAGCUGUCAACCCAGAGAAUAUAGGUCCAGGAGAGGUAAACACAGAAGAGACUGAGGGCAAGCAAACAUGCAAUAUCAGAAGCAGCAUCAGCUGACAUAAAGUAACAUCUUCCUGACAUUAUAGAUGAACUCAAAACUGAAAUAAUAAUAUAAGUUAAGCAAGAUAUAAGAAGAUUAAUAAAAGAAAUGCUAAACACUUCCCAAGAAGACAGAUGGAAAAAUGGAGGAGCACAGAAAAAGGAGGGAAACCUUUGAAGAAGAAUAUAAAAAAAUAUAGAAUACAUGAACACGACACACUUCUCAACACAAACCAUCAAAUAAACAAAAGCUUGGAGCAAAAUAUUUCAAUCCCUGAAAGAAAAUAAACUCCAACCCAGAUUUAUGUACCCUAAAAAACUCUCUCAAAAUUAAUGAGAAACAAGAUGUUUCCAUGACAAAGAGGAACUGUAGGAGUUCAUGACCACCAAUCCAACCCUACAAAAAAUACCAAAAGAUCAGAGAGAGAGAGAGAGAGAGAGAGAGAGAGAGAGAGAGAGAGAGAGGAGAAGGGAAAAGAGGAGAGGAGAGGAGAGGAGAGAGAAACACCAGGGUUUCAGAAACAGUGGUAGAGAAGCCUCAAUGAAUGGGGAAGACAGUGGAAUGAAGGGGAAAAGUAGACAACCAAUGACAGAAAAAUAGCAUAGCAGAGAUGAGGCAGAGACGGUGGUUAUAAUCUUUAACACAGAUGGCCUUGAUACACUAACAAAAAGAAACACAGGCAGAGUAGAUCAGGAGAUAGGGUCCAUCGAGAUGCUCUGCAUAGGAAAUAUAAUCAACCUGAAAGAGGGUUUAUAGUCUGAAAGUCAAAAAUGAGAAAAUAAUGCUCUGUGUGACAGAGAACCAGAGAGAAAUAGGGACAACUCGUCCAGCACCUGCAGAUAGGUUGGAAAGACAUGACACUUUAGUGCAGUGGAGAACUACUCAGCUAUAAGGAAGGAAAACGGUUGAGGCCUUUAUAGGUAAAGGAAUACAACUUAAGAUCAAGCCCAGGGGUAAAAAGGUUCAGAACCACUUUAGGUAAAUAGCAGGUUGCCUCCCUAAUCUAAAAAUUAAAGGAGUUAGUGGGAUCCAAAAUGUAUAAUGCACCUGUGAAAGUGAAAGGGGAGGAAUUGUCUAAAAAAGGAAGGCAGAGGACAUUGUUAAUGAUUUAAAACCUACAUUGUUCUCAUCGCUCUGUUUAGUUUGUUCCAGUCUGUUCCAGUCUGUCUACUUAUACUAGACUUAGGGCACAGACAGCUUUUCCAAAAAUAGCAGGAUAUACUGUGGUAACCAUCCUUAAUUUCUUAUUAACUUACUCUGAAGCCCUGUAUUACUUAAACUGUCUUAUUAUGGCUGAUCUUAUUUGAAUCUGGUUUGUUAGAUCGCUGUCUUGUCUUGACUGAUUUUAUCCAAAUCUGUUAUGUUUGAUAGUAUCAAGUCUGAGAGUACAGGCAACUACUCUGAAGAUGAUAAGAUUCACUAGGAUACCCGUUCUCGUUUGACUAUUACCUGCUUUUGAAGUCUUAUAAUGUCUGCAAUGUUUUGUUUUUAAUUGAUAUUGUUCUGUUCUGUACUGUUAUGUUCAAUUUUACUAUGCUUGAUGAUAUAGACAAUUCUAUGGAAGAUAACAAAAGACAUCAUAGUAACCAUUGUAGAUCACCUUGUAUUGUGGUUUUAAUCAUGUGCUACACCCAUCCUUUUGUUUUGAAUGACUCUGUUUUGUGUCAUUUCUCAUUUGAUUUUGUUCUUUUCAAAAUAAAAAUUUAAAAAAUACACUCCAUAUACAUUCUUCAUGGGAUGUGUGUGUACGUGUAUGUGUGUGUGUGCACCCACACAGAAGAGGGUGGGGACAGUAGGGGAUGGCACUGGAGAGGGAUGCUGGGACACAAUUAUGCAGGGUCAUAAGCCAAAAAAACCUCUGAGGUUUAUUAGAAGAGUAACAAAGAAUUAGUCACAGUGUAAAUAAAGAAAUAAAAUGAUGCAUUUGUUAUUUUAAAAAUUAUCUGGACAGCAGUGUCAGAUCAGAUACAAUAGAGACUGUGGCCAGGAGUCAGUUAGAAGGUCACAGAAAUCUGGGCGCACUGUGAUAAGCCCCAGCCAGGGAAUGGCUGGGCAGCCAGGGAGUGGACCCUACUGGGCAUGAGGGGCAGUGGGGAGGACACUCAGGUAGCUGGUCAUCCUUGGAGCUGGUUCAGGUGGGGGCAGAUGACACUGACAUUGACUGGGCCAUCCUGUGUAGGGAGCCUCAGUAAGUGGUGGAAUGGGACCGUCACUAGGAGGCUGGGUGUGCAGCUCUGCUGGCCGAGGGCGGGCUUACGGUUUGGGAAGACAAGAGAACACAAGUGUCAGUUGGAGCACUCAGGGAACACAUGCGAAGGAAAAUGAGAGCCCUAGCCUGCAAUUUUAACGUGACUAACAUGUUAAGUGUGGGUACAGGAUGAGAAGGCCAGGAAGAAAACUUUGAAGAAGUGGGCAGAGUUGCUAAAGAAGGAAUAAGAGAUCACAGUGUCAUGAAAUCCAGUCAAGAGACUAUUGUAAGCCUAAGGAAGUGGUUAAGGUGCUGAGCUGCUGAGAGGCAGGUAGACAGGGAUGGGCUGCCAUUUUGACCGGCACAUGAAGGUUCUUGUUGACCUUGACGAAGCAGGUCUGAGGUGAGGGCAGAGGCCAGGUGGAUUUCGAGGGAGGAGAAAAAGUGAGUAAAGAAAGAUGUUUUAAGAGGCUGAAGGGAAGAGGGCAACAGCUGGGCUGUGAGAAUCUGAGGGAGAUCUUGGCAGUUGUGUGUGGGGCGUUAGGAUGAA